GGUUGAAGAUUCCCAAGCCGCAAACUAUGAUGUAGCUGUUAUAGGUCCCGAAAUUGCUAAUUGUGAAAAGGAACUGAUUAACGCAAAGGUUCAAGCACCUCGACUCCUUGCUGGGAAUCGAUUUAUGAAAUAUUAUGUCUCAAUGGGAUAUGAGAUAACAUCAACUCUGGAGCUUGAAAAUCCAAAUGAGUAUUAGGCAAAAAAUUAAGGGAAUAUGUAUAGAUAAUAAUGUGUGAAUUUAUUAUCUUGAUUGAUACUAUAUAAUAUUGAUGACAUAGGCAUGUUGCCAUUGUUGCUGCUGUUGAAACUGUGAAUUAAUUUAAAUAAUCACUAUAAAACUAUAUUUUUUUUUCAUAUUCAUUAUGUUAAUUAAUCCUUAAUAUUCCAAUUAUUAGCUAUUCAAAGUAGACUCAGAAUCUAACCAAACCGAAAUUAUAUCAACCUUCUUGCCCUUCCAUUUAUGACACUUUUGCAAAAAUAUGUAGUAAUUACACCUAUUGUUCCAAGAUGAGAUUUUUGUAAGAAAGAGCUGGUAGUAUUUACCGUCUCCCACCCUACUUGUGCUGUACUACAUUUUAGCUUAUUUCUUUCCUUAAUUGCCUUCUCCUUAAUACUUUCUUUUAAUUUCUUGCAUCCAGAAGUACUAGUGAACUUUCCUUUAUUAUCAAAAGACCAAAUCAUGGAAUCAUUACCUCUUAAUUGACAAAGCAUUAUCCUUUGAAAAUUACUUUCUUCAACUUUAAGAAAGAAUAAUAAGUCAUUUGUAAAGAAAAUAUGGGUACAAAAAGGUCAUUUAAAUUGAUAUUACUUUGAUAUUUUACUCUAUCUGUCGAAAAAAAAUGAUGCUACUUUGCAGCAUUUUGUUGUUCUUAGUAAAUUGAAAUCAAACCACGCCACCGGAUCCAUUUUGUUCUUUAGUUCUUUUUAACAAAUUGAAUCAAACUAUCUAGAUGGGCCAGUUCUUUCUCAUUUGUUCUUUGCAUAUGAUUUUGUAAUCUAUUUGAAAUUGAACUUAAAGAAUGUUCGGAUCCUUAAAGGAAUUCUUCACCCCUUUCUUUAGCUACUCAAGCCAUCGAGCCAAUGCCCAGAAAACCAGCAUUUUCUUUUCUGAAGGAGUGGUUGAUGAUCUUAGUAACAUGCUAAGUAGUUUACUUGGCUUAAAAAGGGCCUAAGAUAUUGAAAUGUAUUUGGGUGUGUCGUUAUUCAAUAACAGAGUUUCUAACUCUACAUUGUGGUUUGUGGUAGAAUAGGUGCCUAGAAAAUUGAGUAAUUGGGACGCUAAGCAGCUCUCUCUGGCAGGUAGUGUUACUCUAUUUUUGUCUGUUCUUAUUUCUUUACCAAAUUAUUGCGUGCAACCAAUGUGAAUUUUGAAAUGUGUUUGCGUAUAGAUUAAACGAUCGGUAAGACAAUCCAUAUAGGUGUCGGCUAAUGGUGGGAAGAGAGUGUCUCUAGUUGGUUGAGACGCUAAUUGUCAACCUCGUGCUUGUGGAUGAUGAGGUCUAAGGCAUUUAGUAGAUCUGAAUGCUUUUUCUUUUUCUUUUUUUUUUUGCUAAAAUUGGGGUUUAAUCAAGUCUCUAAGCAUACUGUCUUUUGGGAUCGAGUUCUUCGAUCGAAGUAAGGAAUGAAAGUGAGGGCGCCUGAAAGUGUUGCACGAGGAAAGGAAGGUGUUCAGCAGUAUAGAGAGGACUUGCUAAGGUACGGCCUGUAUUGAGAGAGAAUUUAUAUUGGUCUGUUUGGACCGAGAAUUGUGUCUACCGUUGGUAAUCAUCCACUCAUGAACGUUCUCAAAUAAAUCUUGGAAUUCGUUAAACCUUUGCAGGUUACUACUUGGCCAGCACGUCCUCAGCCUUGAUAAGAAGGAUUCAUUUGUUUUUAGAAACAAUAGUCCAAUUGCAAACCAAGUGUAUUUCGAGAGAGAGUAAAAAAGCUGCUGACUAGCUUAAGAAGGUGCCUUAAAAUAGGAAUACAAAGGUUUAGGUGUUUGUUAUUUUCCCUGAGGAGAGAUGUUAGAUGAAUUUGGGUUUGAUAAAGUAGUUGAGUUUCUGUUUGUAAUUAUUUAGGAGUUGGUUAGUUUUAUUUACACACCAAAAGAAAAGUUUAUUGCAACCAAAAUUUUCAAUAAAAAGAGAAAUCAAUAUAAUUGUACAGUCAAACAUUUAUAUUAGAAAAUAAAUUACUAAAUUAGUUUCGUUAACAAAAUUGUAAAAUAACUUUAUUGUUAUAAUUGAUUCUAAUGUAUGUUAUCAUAACUAAGACUUAUCCAAAAAUAGAUUUGUUUUACCUUUAUAAAACGUAGUAAAAGAAAUUAAAAAAUCACAAGAUCAAAAUUUGUAAUAAAAAAUAUCUUCGUAUAGGAGUCAACAAGGCAAUGGCUCCUCCAAAUCAAUUAUGCUUAGUUUUAGUUAUUUUCUUAUCAGUUUUUUUGCUUUCUUCUUUGUCAACGAGUGCAAUUAUUCCAAAGGCUAAUGUUUCUGUAACACCCCGCACCCGAGACCGUUGCCGGAGUCGAACACGAGGUGCUAACAGACAUAAUUCAUUUAUUUUCACAGUCCAUUUUAAAAAUUUCCAAACAAGCUGGUUAACUGCAUCACUGUCACUUUAAAAAUCAUAUCUCGAGUUCCGAAGCUCAAAAACUGAUUCCGUAAAUUUUCCGUGAAACUAGACUCAUAUAUCCAUCUACAAAUUGUUUUCUAUAAAUUUUGAUUGGUCCAAUUAGUACAGUUUAUUAGUUAAAGUCUCCCCGGUUUCAGGGUUUGACUGCUCUGACCUUCAUAAAUUACGACUUAUAUAUCUUCCUGUAAAGGGAUUCAUUACUUAUUCCGUUUGUUUCUAAAGAAACUAGACUCAAAAAGGAAUCUGUAAAUAUAGGGCAUGACUUCUAAUUAUCUCUGGUUAAUUUAUAGUGAAUUUCCAAAGUCGGAAUAGGGGAUCCAGAAAUAGCUCUGGCCCUGUUCCACGAAAACAUAAAUAUCUCUUAAAAUACGACUCAUAUGAUCGUUUCGUUUCUUCCAUAUGAAAGUAGAUUCAUCAAGGUUCGAUUACAUAAUUUAUUCACUAUUUAAUUCCAUUCCUACUAUUUUUAGUGAUUUUUCAAAUGUACAUCACUGCUGCUGUCAGCAUCUGUUUUUAAGGUAAACUUUACCUAUUUCAUGGUUUUCCAUGAAUCAACUAGAAUUUGUCAUACAAAGCACCAAAAUGAUCAUGAUUAACCAUUCCAAUGGCUAAUCGUUACCAAACAUUUCCAUACCUCUCAAUGAACAACAUACAAAACGAUUAUAACGCUAUGCUCAAAGUGUAUAUAAGCCAUUUUCGCAUGGCUAUCCAAAUUUAUAAAAAACCAAAGGGUACAUGACCAACAACAAAAAGGGUAGUCCUAUACAUGCCAUUUUCAGAGUUCAACCAAAAGUGUACUAAAAGGGCUUUGAUAGUGUGGAUGACUUCGACUUCGACAAUCCCGAGUCUGAUAGCUGACGAACCAAAAUCUAUAAAAUAGAGAAUCAAAGAAACAGAGUAAGCAUUUAAUGCUUAGUAAGUUUUGUGCAAUGAAAUUAGGCACAAUUGAAGUAUAACAUUCAUAUGACUAAACGGAUGAUUUCAUAUACACACAUUCUCAAAAUCAUACCUACUUCACAUUACCAACCCUUAUACUCAUACAUAGGAAAUCAACUUAACCAAAAGCCGGAAGCUCAUUAAUCGACUGAGCGGAUACUAUUUAAAAGGAAUCAAUUAAUCCAAUGCAUAUAUGAAACAUACCUCAUCGUUGGGAUUUUACGAGCAUAUUAAUUGGAAUUAUUACAGCAAAAUCGCUCGUUCCCAAACCAAGUACCUUCGGGAUUUAACCGGAUAUAGCUACUCGCUCAAAUGCCUUCGGGACUUAGCCCGGAUAUAGUAGCUCGCACCAAUGCCUUCGGGACUUAGCCCGGAUAUAGUAACUCGCACAAAUGCCUUCGGGACUUAGCCCGGAUAUAGUAACUCGCACAAAUGCCUUCGGGACUUAGCCCGAAAUUAGUCACUAGCACAAAUGCCUUCGGGACUUAGCCCGGAAUUAGUCACUAGCCCAAAUGCCUUCGUUAUCAUCCGAAUAUUCAUGCACAUAUCAGUAAAUCAUGACGCAUCUUUAUUUCAUUUUCAUCACUAGAAUUCAAACACAAAUCAAUUAUUAAGCAUUCCCAUUUUCGGCUCAAUAGCCACAUACGAACAGCAUGAUUCGGCUUGCUUCAUGACAUGAUUUCUAUGCACAUACGGCUACCCAUCAUACGUAUAGACCAAUUAACUCAACACAUAAUUCAAGUAGAAUCAUUAUAUCACCGUAUAUUUGUCAUGAUUAUACGUCAUGACUUAAUCAAAUCGUAAACUAAGUUUCAUUACUCGAAAACUUACCUCGGAUGUUGUCGAACGAUUUCGACGGCUAUUCGAUCACUUUUUCCUUCCCUUUAUCGGAUUUAGUUCCCCUUUGCUCUUGAGCUUAAUUUAACAAAUAAAUUGAUUUAAUCAUUUGAACAUCAAAAAGAGAAACUCAAGGUACUUAACCCAUAUAUACAUUAGACAUUAGAGUCACAUAUAUAUGAAAUCAUGAUUCAACUCAACAUAUUAGCCCACACUCUCUUUUAGCUGAUUAUCUAAGCCAAGAUAAAAGCAUCAAUAUGCUUGCCUCUAACCGAAUACAUGCAACAUCAAUCUACCUCAUGUGGCCGAAUAUGCAUGUCUAUGUUGAGGCCGAUUCUCUACUUAAUACAUUAUACAAAUAUGGUUACUUGUAUUGACUACAUACCAUUUCGUUUCAAGUUCAAAACUCGGCUAAUACACAUAUAUACACUAAUAAUCAAAUACUAAUAUUUGCACUUCACCUUACUAUCAAUUCUCAUCCACUUCCUACCAUGGCCGAAUGCAUCAAGACACCAUACUAUUUCAAUUUUGGUCAUGGGUUAAACAAAGAACUUAAUGUCUAACUCAAAAAUGCUAAAAAGAAAAUCCAAGAGUCAUCAAUCACCGUCACAUGUAUCAUUACAAAGCUUCACAUUUAGCAUGCAAAUGACAUCAACACAAGUCCACCUUAGCCGAAACUUAGCUCAUCUUCAUGUCUUAUCACCACAACAUCAACCACCAACCAAGAAGGCAACACCCAUGGCCGAAUAUCAUCUCCAUCUCAUAGCAAAGAUUUAGACCAUGGGGUAGGUAGAACUCAAGCUAACAACUAAAAAUAUGCAUGAAUCUCAUGGAACAACAUCAACAUACCUUAGCCUAGUGAACCACCAUAGCCGAUUUUCUCCAAGCUCUUUUCCCUCUCUUUCUUUCUUCUAUUCGGCCAAGUUCACAACAUGAGAACUUUUUUUUUCUUUUAUUUUUCCUUCAUCAUUUUCCUUUUCAUUAUUUUAUUACCAUGCUCCUUAUUUUAUCAUUUCUAACAUAAACCAUUAACACAACAUGUUUAUGAUAUGUUUUACCCAUCACACUUUGUCCACCCUUAUUGUCAUGGCCGGCCACUACUAAUUAAAUGGGGAAAUUGACAUGCAAGUCCACCCCUUUGAUUACAUGCACUAAUAGAUCCUUAUAGAUUAACCUAUCACAUUUAAAAAGUGUCACACAUAAGUCCUAUUGACUAAAUUCACAUGCAAUUAGCUAAAUCGAAGCUUAAAACUUUCACACAUUCAUAUUCAUAUAUUUUUGACAAUAAUUAUCAUAUUCAAAUAAUUUGGUGACUCGGUUUAGCGGUCCCGAAACCACUUUUCGACUAGGGUCACUUUAGGGCUGUCACAGUUUCCCUUUCGAUACCUUCAUCGCAACUGGUAGAAAAUUUAUGCAACGGCAAGGCAAAUCAAAAUCGAAGGUUUUACCUAAAAGUACUUUCCACUCCCGAAGUUAUUGCGGUAAUGGAUACAACCGAAUUAGGAACCCUCAUUAUGAAAUUAGGAGCAGCAAAUGCCAAAGCAUCGUUGAAUGUAUAUAAUGAAAUAAUUAAGAAACCAGGUUCUCCACUGGCUUUGAAAGCCUUUAAUUGUUGCGUUGAGGCAUACAAAUACGCAAUCUUAUCAUUUGAAAUGGUAUCUUCAGAAUUGGUUGAAGAUCCCAAAACCGAAAACUAUGAUGUAGCUGUUAUAGGUCCCAAAAUUGCUAAUUGUGAAAAGGAACUGAUCAACGCAAAGGUUCAAGCACAUCGACUCCUUGCUGGGAAUCGAUUUAUGAAAUAUUAUGUCUCAUUGGGAUAUGAGAUAACAUCAACUCUAGAGCUUGAAAAUCCAAAUGAGUAUUAGGCAAAAAAAUAAGGGAAUAUGUAUAGAUAAUAAUGUGUGAAUUUGUUAUCUUGAUUGAUACUAUAUAAUGUUGAUGACAUAGGCGUGUUGCCAUUGUUGCUGCUGUUGAAACUGUGAAUUAAUUUAAAUAAUCACUAUAAAAUUAUAUAUUUUUUUCAUAUUCAAUUAAGUUAAUUAAUCCUUAAUAUUCCAAUUAUUAGCUAUUCAAAGUAGACUUAGAAUCUAACCAAAUCGAAAAAAUAUCAACCUUCUUACCUCUUCCAUUUAUGACAUCUUUGCAAAAAUAUGUAGUAAUUACACCUAUUGUUCCAAGAUGAGAUUUUUGUAAGAAAGAGCUGGUAGUAUUUACCGUCUCCCACCCUACUUGUGCUGUACUGCAUUUCAGUUUAUUUCUUUCCUUAAUUGCCUUCUCCUUAAUGCUUUCUUUUAAUUCCUUGCAUCCAGAAGUACUAGUGAACUUUCCCUUAUUAUCAAAAGACCAAAUCAUGGAAUCAUUACCUCUUAAUUGACAAAGCAUUAUCCAUUGAAAAUUACUUUCUUCAACUUCAAGAAAGAAUAAUGAGUCAUUUGUAAAGAAAAUAUGGGCACAAAAAGAUCAUUUAAAUUGAUAUUACUAAGAUAUAUUACUCUAUCUGUCAAAAAAAAUGAUGCUACUUUGCAGCAUUUUGUUGUUCUUAGUAAAUUGAAAUCAAACCGCGCCACCAGAUCCAUUUUGUUAUUUAGUUCUUUUUAACAAAUUGAAUCAAACUAUCUAGAUGGGGCCAGUUCUUUCUCAUUUGUUCUUCGCAUAUGAUUUUGUAAUCUAUUUGAAAUUGAACUUAAAGAAUGUUCGGAUCCUUAAAGGAAUUCUUCACCACUUUCUUUAGCAUCUCAAGCCAUCGAGCCAAUGCCCAGAAAACCAACAUUUUCUUUUCUAAAGGAGUGGAUGCUAAGUAGUUUACUUGGCUUAAAAAGGGCCUAAGAUAUUGAAAUGUAUUUGGGUGUGUCGUUAUUCCAUAACAGAGUUUCUAACUAUACAUUGCGGUUUGUGGUAGAAUAGGUGCCUAGAAACUUGAGUAAUUGAGACGCUAAGCAGCUCUCUUUGGUAGGUAGUGUUACUCUAGUUUUGUCUGUUCUUAUUUCUGUACCAAAUUAUUGCAUGCAACCAAUGUGAAUUUCGAAAUGUGUUUACGUGUAGAUUUAACGAUCGGUAAGACAAUCCAUAUAGGUGUCGGCUAAUGGUGGAAAGAGAGUGUCUCUAGUUGGUUGAGACGCUAAUUAUCAACCUCGUGCUUAUGGAUGAUGAGGUCUAAGGCAUUUAGAGGAUCUGAAUACUUCUUCUUCUUUUUUUUUGCUAAAAUUGGGGUUUAAUCAAGUCUCUAAGCAUAAUGUCUUUUGAGAUCGAGUUCUUCGAUCAAAGUAAGGAAUGAAAGUGAGGGCGCUUGAAAGUGUUGCACGAGGAAGGUGUUCAGCAGUAUGGAGAGGACUUGUUAAGGUACGACCCGUAUUGAGAGAGAAUUUAUAUUGGUCUGUUUGGACCGAGAAUUCUGUCUACCGUUGGUAAUCAACCACUCCUGUACCUUCUCAAAUCAAUCUUGGAAUUCUUUAAACCUUUACAGGUUGCUACUUGGCCAGCUCAUCCUCAGCCUUGAUAAGAAGGAUUCAUUUGUUUUUAGAAACUAUAGUCCAAUUGCAAACCAAGUGUAUUUCGAGAGAGAGUAAAAAAGCUGCUGACUAGCUUAAUAAGGUGCCUUUAAAUAGGAAUACAGAGGUUUAGGUGUUUGUUAUUUUCCCUGAGGAGAGAUGUUAGAUGAAUUUGGGUUUGAUAAAGUAGUUGAUUUUCCGUUUGUAAUUAUUUAGUGGAGUUGGUUAGUUUUAUUUACACACCAAAAGAAAAGUUUAUUGCAACCAAAAUUUUGAAUAAAAAGAGAAAUCAAUAUAUUUGUACAGUCAAACAUUUAUAUUAGAAAAUAAAUUACUAAAUUAGUUUCAUUAACAAAAUUGUAAAAUAACAUUAUUGUUAUAAUUGAUACUAAUGUAUGUUAUUGUAACUAAGACUUAUCCAAAAAUAGAUUUGUUUUACCUUUAUAAAACGUUGUAAAAGAAAUUAAAAACUCACAAGAUCAAAAUUAGUAAAAAAAAAUAUCUCCGUAUAGUAGUCAACAAGGCAAUGGCUCCUCCAAAUCAAUUAUGCUUAGUUUUAGUUAUUUUCUUAUCAGUUUUUUCACUUUCUUCUUUGUCAACAAGUGCAAUUAUUCCAAAGGCUAAUGUUUCCCUUUCGAUACCUUCAUCGCAACUAGUAGAAAAUUUAUGCAACAGCAAGGCAAUUCCAAAUCGCAGGUUUUGCCUGAAAGCACUUUCCACUCCCGAAGUCAUUGCGGCAGUGGAUACAACCCAAUUAGGAACCCUCAUUAUGAAAUUAGGAGCAGCAAAUGCCAAAGCAACGUUGAAUGUAUAUAAUGAAAUAAUUAAGAAACCAGGUUCUCCCCAGGCUUUGAAAGCCCUUAAUUGUUGCGUUGAGGCAUACAAAUACGCAAUCUUAUCAUUUGAAAUGGUAUCUUCAGAAUUGGUUGAAGAUCCCCAAACUGCAAACUAUGAUGUAGUAGUUAUAGGUCCCGAAAUUGCUAAUUGUGAAAAGGAACUGAUUAACGCAAAGGUUCAAGCACAUUGACUCCUUGCUGGGAAUCGAUUUAUGAAAUAUUAUGUCUCAAUGGGAUAUGAGAUAACAUCAACUCUGGAGCUUGAAAAUCCAAAUGAGUAUUAGGCAAAAAAUUAAGGGAAUAUGUAUAGAUAAUAAUGUGUGAAUUUUUUAUCUUGAUUGAUACAAUAUAAUAUUGAUGACAUAGGUGUGUCACCAUUGUUACUGCUGUUGAAACUGCGAAUUAAUUUAAAUAAUCACUGUAAAAUUAUAUAUUUUUUUCAUAUUCCAUUAAGUUAAUUAAUCCUUAAUAUUCCAAUUAUUAGCUAUUCAAAGGGGACUCAGAAUCUAACCAAACCGAAAAAAUAUCAACCUUCUUACCUCUUCCAUUUAUGACACUUUUGCAAAAAUAUGUAGUAAUUACACCUAUUGUUCCAAGAUGAGAUUUUUGUAAGAAAGAGCUGGUAGUAUUUACCGUCUCCCACCCUACUUGUGCUGUACUGCAUUUUAGUUUAUUUCUUUCCUUAAUUGCCUUCUCCUUAAUGCUUUCUUUUAAUUCCUUGCAGCCAGAAGUACUAGUGAACUUUCCCUUAUUAACAAAAGACCAAAUCAUGGAAUCAUUACCUCUUAAUUGACAAAGCAUUAUCCUUUGAAAAUGACUUUCUUCAACUUCAAGAAAGAAUAAUGAGUCAUUUCUAAAGAAAAUAUGGGCACAAAAAGAUCAUUUAAAUUGAUAUUACUAAGAUAUUUUACUCUAUCUGUCGAAAAAAAAUGAUGCUACUUUGCAGCAUUUUGUUGUUCUUAGUAAAUUGAAACCAAACCACGCCACCGGAUCCAUUUUGUUCUUUAGUUCUUUUUAACAAAUUGAAUCAAACUAUCUAGAUGGGGCCAGUUCUUUAUCAUUUUUUCUUUGCAUAUGAUUUUGAAAUCUAUUGGAAAUUGAACUUAAAGAAUGUUCGGAUCGUUAAAGGAAUUCUUCACCGCUUUCCUCAGCUUCUCAAGCCAUCGAGCCAAUGCCCAGAAAACCACCAUUUUCUUUUCUGAAGGAGUGGAUGCUAAGUAGUUUACUUGGCUUAAAAAGGGCCUAAGAUAUUGAAAUGUAUUUGGGUGUGUCGUUAUUCCAUAACAGAGUUUCUAACUCUACAUUGCGGUUUGUGGUAGAAUAGGUGCCUAGAAAAUUGAGUAAUUGGGACGCUAAGCAGCUCUCUGUGGCAGGUAGUGUUACUCUAGUUUUGUCUGUUCCUAUUUCUUUACCAAAUUAUUGCUUGCAACCAAUGUGAAUUUCGAAACGUGUUUACGUGUAGAUUUAACGAUCGGUAAGACAAUCAAUAUAGGUGUCGGCUAAUGGUGGAAAGAUAGUGUCUCUAGUUGGUUAAGACGCUAAUUGUCAACCUCGUGCUUGUGGAUGAUGAGGUCUAAGGAAUUUAGAGGAUCUGAAUACUUCUUCUUCUUUUUUUUGCUAAAAUUGGGGUUUAAUCAAGUCUCUAAGCAUAAUGUCUUUUGAGAUCGAGUUCUUCGAUCAAAGUAAGGAAUGAAAGUGUGGGCGCCUGAAAGUGUUGCACGAGAAAGGUGUUCAGCAGUAUGGAGAGGACUUGCUAAGGAACGACCCGUAUUGAGAGAGAAUUUAUAUUGGUCUGUUUGGACCGAGAAUUCUGUCUACCGUUGGUAAUCAACCACUCAUGAACCUUCUCAAAUCAAUCUUGGAAUUCAUUAAACCUUUGCAGGUUUCUACUUGGCCAGCUCAUCCGCAGCCUUGAUAAGAAGGAUUCAUUUGUUUUUAGAAACUAUAGUCCAAAUGCAAACCAAGUGUAUUUCGAGAGAGAGGAAAAAAGCAGCUAACUAGCAUAAUAAGGUGCCUUUAAAUAGGAAUACAGAGGUUCAGGUGUUUGUUAUUUUCCCUGAGGAGAGAUGUUAGAUGAAUUUAGGUUUGAUAAAGUAGUGGAUCUUCUGUUUGUAAUUAUUUAGUGGAGUUGGUUAGUUUUAUUCAGACACCAAAAGAAAAGUUUAUUGCAACCAAAAUUUUCAAUAAAAAGAGAAAUCAAUAUAAUUGUACAGUCAAAAAUUUAUAUUAGAAAAUAAAUUACUAAAUUUGUUUCGUUAACAAAAUUGUAAAAUAACUUUAUUGUUAUAAUUGAUACUAAUGUAUGUUAUCGUAACUAAGACUUAUCCAAAAAUAGAUUUGUUUUACCUUUAUAAAACGUAGUAAAAGAAAUGAAAAAAUCACAAGAUCAAAAUUUGUAAUAAAAAAUAUCUUCGUAUAGCAGUCAACAAGGCAAUGGCUCCUCCAAAUCAAUUAUGCUUAGUUUUAGUUAUUUUCUUAUCAGUUUUUUCGCUUUCUUCUUUGUCAACAAGUGCAAUUAUUCCAAAGGCUAAUGUUUCCCUUUCGAUACCUUUAUCGCAACUAGUAGAAAAUUUAUGCAACGGCAAGGCAAUUCAAAAUCGCAGGUUUUGCCUGAAAGCACUUUCCACUCCCGAAGUUAUUGCGGCAAUGGAUACAACCGAAUUAGGAACCCUCAUUAUGAAAUUAGGAGUAGCAAAUGCCAAAGCAACGUUGAAUGUAUAUAAUGAAAUAAUUAAGAAACCAGGUUCUCCCCAGUCUUUGAAAGCCCUUAAUUGUUGCGUUGAGGCAUACAAAUACGCAAUCUUAUCAUUUGAAAUGGUAUCUUCAAAAUUGGUUGAAGAUCCCCAAACCGCAAACUAUGAUGUAGCAGUUAUAGGUCCCGAAAUUGCUAAUUGUGAAAAGGAACUGAUUAACGCAAAGGUUCAAUCACCUCGACUCCUUGCUGGGAAUCGAUUUAUAAAAUAUUAUGUCUCAAUGGGAUAUGAGAUAACAUCAACUCUAGAGCUUGAAAAUCCAAAUGAGUAUUAGGCAAAAAAUUAAGGGAAUAUGUAUAGAUAAUAAUGUGUGAAUUUGUUAUCUUGAUUGAUACAAUAUAAUAUUGAUGGCAUAGGCGUGUUGCCAUUGUUGCUGCUGUUGAAACUGUG
rnacentral:lncRNA from 1 species